CCAAUAGCGUAUAUUAAAGUUGUUGCAGUUAAAAAGCUCGUAGUUGAAUUUCGGGAUCAAUACGUCGGUCGUGCUUCGGUACGUACUGGCGUCAUUGAUUUCUCCCUUCUGACGAGCCAUGAUGUCAUUAACUUGGUGUCAUGGGAAAUCAGGACUGUUACUUUGAAAAAAUUAGAGUGUUUAAAGCAGGCUCACGCUUGAAUAUAUUAGCAUGGAAUAAUGAAAUGGGACGUUCGAUCCUAUUUUGUUGGUUUUUAGGAUCAACGUAAUGAUUAAUAGGGAUAGUUGGGGGCAUUAGUAUUCAAUUGUCAGAGGUGAAAUUCUUGGAUUUAUUGAAGACUAACUACUGCGAAAGCAUUUGCCAAGGAUGUUUUCAUUAAUCAAGAACGAAAGUUAGGGGAUCGAAGACGAUCAGAUACCGUCGUAGUCUUAACCAUAAACUAUGCCGACUAGAGAUCGGAUGAUGUUAAUUUUUUAAUGACUCAUUCGGCGCCUUACG
rnacentral:rRNA from 1 species